rnacentral:sRNA from 1 species
CUGGAGCACGAUUCAUGAUUCGCACCCUUCGUUUCACCGGUCUACUACUACUAAACGCAUCCACUGUGCGCGGUAGACUGGCGGGCGAAAUUCAGCGUUGAAUCGUCUUCAGUAAAACUAAAAACCCGCGCCACUGCGCGGGUUUUUUU